rnacentral:misc_RNA from 1 species
UUGCGAUAAGUAAUGUGAAUUGCAGAAUUACGUGAAUCAUCGAAUCUUUGAACGCAUAUUGCACUCUCUGGUAUUCCGGGGAGUAUGCCUGUUUGAGGGUCAGUAAAUAAUAAUUAUCAUAAUCUUUUGAUUGUGGAAUUGGGCCUUUAUUUCAUUUUAAUGAUUUAUGGCCUUAAAUUUAUGUUACCGCUUGUUUUAAUAUGAAAUUCGACCGAAUGGAGCAAUUAAACAUUCUCUCGUUAGGCGGAUUCAUCAAGCAAUUACGAUUUUUUGGCCAUCGAAGCACUUUUUUUUUUAGAAGUGCUUGGUCGAGAUUGUAAGAUACAUUUUUAACAAUGACCUCAAAUCAGGCAAGAAUACCCGCUGAACUUAA